AGAGUUUGAUCAUGGCUCAGAACGAACGCUGGCGGCGUGCCUAACACAUGCAAGUCGAACGAGAAGUACGUAGCAAUACGUAUUGUAAAGUGGCGCACGGGUGAGUAACACGUGGGUAAUCUGCCCUUGAGUUUGGGAUAACCCCGCGAAAGCGGGGCUAAUACCGAAUAAGACCACGGGGACCAAAGUCCCUGAGGUAAAAGACGGCCUCUAUUUAUAAGCUGUCACUUGAGGAUGAGCCCGCGGCCCAUUAGCUAGUUGGUAGGGUAACGGCCUACCAAGGCGAUGAUAGGUAGCUGGUCUGA
rnacentral:rRNA from 1 species